GACCACAGAGCCCAACCUUACAUCAGAGCCACGCCAGAGAACCGUAUGUGUGGAGAACCAGGGCCGUCCGGAAUAACGCACACUACAAGACUGCAAAACAGUACCCCUCCACAUAAUGACCAGGACACCGUAUGAUCCCAAACGUUUUUGGAAUGUUUAAGGAGUAUCGACCUUCCAGAACAACAAAAACCCGGAGCUUCGUGCAACAGUGGAGAGUCAGAACCGAUCUUCAUCAGCGGCCCUACAACAACACCGAGUGAGUGGCUGCCUCGCGAUUUCUCUGAUGUUUUUGAGUAUAGUAUAUCAGAUUUCGAUCUAGUUCAUAUACCCACCACCCCAGAAUGUGCCAGAAAUAGCGUUGAUUCACACAUAGAUUUUGAAGAAGACGGCAUAACAGACUCUCAAAUA